UUUUUUCUCAUAAGUUACCUUUUUUAUUCAAACUAUAACAAGUACACUGGGUUUACAAACAUCACUGAAAGCCCAUUAGGCCGAGUCAUCAAUAUCACAAGGUAAAAGAAGAGUUAUCUCUACCCAAAACGUGUCAAGCUAUUGGACUAUAACAAUGCCACGUGUUGCGGGAGAAAAGUGUUACGCUUUUCCAUCGUCCUCUGCCGCUUGGACUCUGAUUCCGGUGAAUGAAAUCGACGCCGGGGAAACACGAUCAUCGAUUCUUUGCUUUUCACCAAUAACUGCAAACUUUAAGGAAAUACUGAAUAGAUAAUCAAACUCAACCGCUUGCCUAAAACAAUUACAAAUUGGAUCCGGCAAAAACGGGUAAAAGAGUAUGAAAAUCUAUCUAAUCCACAAUUGCUUUGUAAUCAAAUCGGAGCUCCGAUUACUGGCGGCUAUAAGGCAAUACAAAUUUUCCAAGGAAACAAAACUUCUUAACAUCAACCUUCAUCGCAACCAUCUAUGAUGCUAAUCUGUAAACCAAUGAUUUAACAAAAGAAAAUUAAAGAAAAACUAUUCCUCCACCAUCUGAGAUCUAAACCAUAAAAGUGAUGAAACUAGAGGCAAAGGCUUCCAAAGACAACACUUCUGGCUAAGAAAAUUAGAUUUGGACUUGAAAUCAAAGAAAGUCGAGGGGAUUAUUCCUAAACACCAAAACGAUUAAAACGCGGCAAAGGAAACCGCUCUGAAGCCAGCCACCGCCGCUAUGAAAGCCGACUGAUGCUGGAAAAGGAAUCGGACCUUGUCCGGGCGCAAAGCCGGAGUGAAACCCGGACGACGAUUUGGACUUUGAUCGGAGAAGUCAUAAGUUUCUUUCUCUCUGAAAAGUUUUUAGAGAGAGAAGAGAGAGAGAAACCUCCUCGUUAUCUUUUUUUCUAUCCACUCAUCCAUGGUUUAUAAUAUGAUUUGUGAGAUCUUCAUUAUCCACUGACUAAACAUGAAAACAUGCACCCAAGUCACAACCAUAUCUCAGGCUUUAUUGGCUUUAUUGCUACGUACAUGUGAA
rnacentral:lncRNA from 1 species